rnacentral:lncRNA from 1 species
AUAGAGCACAGUGCCUUCUUUGAUGCUGGCAAACCAUGCUGGACUAUCAUGUGCCAGUUUCUUUUUAUGUCUCAUAAUUAAUACCAGAGUUCUUCAGAGAGACCUCGAGAGUGUCCUUGUAUUGCUUCUUUUGGCUUCUGUGUGAGCACUUGCCUUGCUUGUGUGAGUUCUCUGUAAAACAGUCUUUUUGGCAAAUUUAUGUUUGACAUUUAAAAAAUAUAACCAUACCAUCAGAGUGUGCUCUCUGUAUUAGAGCUUGAAUGCUUGGCAGUUCAAUUCAAGAAAGGAUCUGUGUCCAGAGCUUUAUCUUGCCAGAACCUCCAAACGCUAAGCUAGAUCUGGCAAUGCUGAGUCUCAUCAUCUACGUGUGCAUCCUUGGAAAGCAUACUGCCAAGAACACCUGGAACAAAUACAAAAUGCUGGUACAAUCAAGAACGUGCAUGCGUGUAAGGUUUUUACAUGUGCAUGUAUGUAAGAUUGAAAUUCUCAAGUGCAUGGAAGUAAGCUGAGUUCUUCAUGAAUGCUCGUCAGAAUACCUCAGUAAUUCUUCAUUUGUAAAAAUCUACAUAUGAUGAACAUAAUACACAUUCAUAUGCCAUAUACAAUUGUAUGCAUGUAUAUGUGUAUGUAUUUAUGUCAUAUACAUAUAUGUAUAUUACAUUGUAUACAUGGAUGCAUGGAUUUUGUAUCAGAGUAAAUAUGUGAAUAUACAUAGAUAUGUUUGCUUAUUGUAAGGAGGGAAGAAGAGAAAUGGGUUACAAGUAGCAAGAGAGAGGUUUGUAAGACCAGACCCCAUUCUAGGAACUAAUAAUGCUGGAUUCUGGAACACAGAGAGGGGAUAAAGAGUGAACACCAAUGGCUAUUCAGGGGUUCUUGGUCCCUGUCUUUUGAGCUGAGGAGUGUUUGACUUCCUAUACCCUGGAGCUGAGGAGUUUUUGACUUCCUGUCUUUUGAGCUGAGGAGUUUUUGACUUCCUGUCUCUGGAGCUGAGGAGUUUUUGACUUCCUGUCUCUGGAGCUGAGGAGUUUUUAACUUCCUGUCUCUGGAGCUGAGGAGUUUUUAACUUCCUGUCUGUGGAGCUGAGGAGUUUUUUACUUCCUGUCCCCUGGAGCUGGAUAGGCUUAUCUCUAUUGUUCCUGAUUGAAGAAAACUCUUCUUUGAAGAUAAAUUCAAACUGUUCCUGUUCAUUGAUUGUGUUCCUGACCACUAAGAAGAUUUGUGACCAGCUAACCUGAGCAAAACUAUAGUGGUGAUGAGGCCUGAGCCCCAAUUCAGGCCUGACCCAGCUAGGGUAGAUUCAGUCAUCCUGGGUUCAUUCCUAAGCAUAUCUGAAGACCUCUUCCAUCCUAGAAAUCAACCUGGGAGCAUAAAGUAGUGCCAGGUUUAGCUAGUCAGCCAUUGAGAAUCAAGACAGACAGGUUAGGGCCUAGGGAAUUUCAAGAAAAAGAAGGUACCUUCAUGAGGAGGUUUUAGGAAGGUGGGAGACUAGUGAGAAACCCUUAGAUGUAGAGAAACCUAAUUCCUUAAUCCUCCUUUUCUAAUACCUUGGUUUCUAA